rnacentral:rRNA from 1 species
GAUCCUCUCUGGCGACGAGUGGCGGACGGGUGAGUAACGCGUAGGAAUCUACCUGGUAGUGGGGGACAACUUGGGGAAACUCAAGCUAAUACCGCAUACGCCCUACGGGGGAAAGCGGGGGAUCUUCGGACCUCGCGCUAUCAGAUGAGCCUGCGUUAGAUUAGCUAGUUGGUAGGGUAAAGGCCUACCAAGGCGACGAUCUAUAGCUGGUCUGAGAGGACGAUCAGCCACACUGGGACUGAGACACGGCCCAGACUCCCACGGGAGGCAGCAGUGGGGAAUAUUGGACAAUGGGCGAAAGCCUGAUCCAGCAGCAGCGUUAAUCGGAAUUACUGGGCGUAAAGCGUACGUAGGCGGUUAGUUAAGUUAGAUGUGAAAGCCCCGGGCUUAACCUGGGAACUGCAUUUAAAACUGGUUAACUAGAGUUGAGUAGAGGGGAGUGGAAUUUCAGGUGUAGCGGUGAAAUGCGUAGAGAUCUGAAGGAACACCAGUGGCGAAGGCGACUCCCUGGACUCAAACUGACGCUGAGGUACGAAAGCGUGGGUAGCAAACAGGAUUAGAUACCCUGGUAGUCCACGCCGUAAACGAUGUCAACUAGCCGUUGGGUUUAUUGUAAACUUAGUGGUGGAGCUAACGCAUUAAGUUGACCGCCUGGGGAGUACGGCCGCAAGGUUAAAACUCAAAUGAAUUGACGGGGCCCGCACAAGCGGUGGAGCAUGUGGUUUAAUUCGAUGCAACGCGAAGAACCUUACCUACCCUUGACAUCCUCAGAACUUGUUAGAGAUAACUUGGUGCCUUCGGGAACUGAGUGACAGGUGCUGCAUGGCUGUCGUCAGCUCGUGUCGUGAGAUGUUGGGUUAAGUCCCGUAACGAGCGCAACCCUUAUCCUUAGUUGCUAGCAGGUAAUGCUGAGAACUCUAAGGAGACUGCCGGUGAUAAACCGGAGGAAGGUGGGGACGACGUCAAGUCAUCAUGGCCCUUAUGGGUAGGGCUACACACGUGCUACAAUGGCCGGUACAGAGGGCUGCAACCUCGUGAGAGCAAGCAAAUCCCAAAAAGCCGGUCCUAGUCCGGAUUGCAGUCUGCAACUCGACUGCAUGAAGUCGGAAUCGCUAGUAAUCGCGAAUCAGAAUGUCGCGGUGAAUACGUUCCCGGGCCUUGUACACACCGCCCGUCACACCAUGGGAGUGGGUUGCAAAAGAAGUGGGUAGUCUAACCUUCGGGAGGGCACUCACCACUUUGUGAUUCAUGACUGGGGUGAAGUCGAAACAAGGUA